rnacentral:rRNA from 1 species
GGCGGACGGGUGAGUAAUGCCUGGGAAAUUGCCCUGAUGUGGGGGAUAACCAUUGGAAACGAUGGCUAAUACCGCAUAACGUCUACGGACCAAAGAGGGGGACCUUCGGGCCUCUCGCUUCAGGAUAUGCCCAGGUGGGAUUAGCUAGUUGGUGAGGUAAUGGCUCACCAAGGCGACGAUCCCUAGCUGGUCUGAGAGGAUGAUCAGCCACACUGGAACUGANACACGGUCCAGACUCCUACGGGAGGCAGCAGUGGGGAAUAUUGCACAAUGGGCGCAAGCCUGAUGCAGCCAUGCCGCGUGUAUGAAGAAGGCCUUCGGGUUGUAAAGUACUUUCAGUCGUGAGGAAGGCGUUGGAGUUAAUAGCUUCNUCGUUUGACGUUAGCGACAGAAGAAGCACCGGCUAACUCCGUGCCAGCAGCCGCGGUAAUACGGAGGGUGCGAGCGUUAAUCGGAAUUACUGGGCGUAAAGCGCAUGCANGUGGUUUGUUAAGUCNNAUGUGAAAGCCCGGGGCUCAACCUC